GGUGCUAUAGUUGGGGUUGUAGAGUAAAAAGAAUUAGAUACUUGUGUUUAAUUAUGGUAUUAUGAAAUUGAGUAUAUAAUAGAUUUUUAUAUUAUCUAUUAAUUUCUAUCUUUUAGAUGGUUAGCAUAUAACUAUGAUUGAAUAUCAUUAAUUUCAUUAUUUUGAUACUGAUUGAUUGAUAUCACAUAUAUAAUGCACUUAAGUUGCAC
rnacentral:lncRNA from 1 species